rnacentral:rRNA from 1 species
UACGGGGGGGGCAAGCGUUGUCCGGAAUUAUUGGGCGUAAAGAGCUCGUAGGCGGUCUGUUGCGUCGGCUGUGAAAACCCGGGGCUCAACCCCGGGCCUGCAGCCGAUACGGGCAGACUAGAGUUCGGCAGGGGAGACUGGAAUUCCUGGUGUAGCGGUGAAAUGCGCAGAUAUCAGGAGGAACACCGGUGGCGAAGGCGGGUCUCUGGGCCGAUACUGACGCUGAGGAGCGAAAGCGUGGGGAGCGAACAGG